rnacentral:rRNA from 1 species
CCUACGGGAGGCAGCAGUGAGGAAUAUUGGACAAUGGACGAGAGUCUGAACCAGCCAAGUAGCGUGAAGGAUGACUGCCCUAUGGGUUGUAAACUUCUUUUAUAAAGGAAUAAAACGAGGCACGUGUGCCUUUUUGUAUGUACUUUAUGAAUAAGGAUCGGCUAACUCCGUGCCAGCAGCCGCGGGAAUACGGAGGUUCCGAGCGUUAUACGGAUUUAUUGGGGUUAAAGGGAGCGUAGAUGGGUUGUUAAGUCAGUUGUGAAAGUUUGCGGCUCAAACGUAAAAUUGCAAUUGAUACUGGCAGCCGUGAGUACAGUUGAGGUAGGCGGAAUUCGUGGUGUAGCGGUGAAAUGCUUAGAUAUCACGAGGAACUCCGAUUGCGAAGGCAGCUUACUAAACUGUCACUGACAUUGAGGCUCGAAAGUGUGGGUAUCAAACAGGAUUAGAUACCCUAGUAGUC